AGUGUUGUGAUAUUUGGUUUUGGUGUCUAUGGAAUACGGACCGUAAGUUGAUUGCUACAGAGCGAAUAUUCGAUUACCUGCCAGAAUGGGCUCAGCAUUCCCUGCACACUGUCUCUGCGCUUGUAAUUGUGCUGGACCUAGUACUCGUGCCCCGGCGAAGGCCACCUUCACUGAAGCCUGGUUUAGUGGCUUUAUUUGCUUUCACCACUCUUUACUCUAUUGCAAUCAUACUUAGCAGCAGCCUAACGGAAUAUCAUGCGUAUGAGUUUUUUGCAAGAAGCAAUAUUAUACAAAUUAUAUUUAUAUUAUUGUUCGGCACUUUGCAGAUAUUAAUCGUGUAUUAUUUACAGUGGUUUUUUAUUGAUUUUGUAUGGAGUUCUAGAUUAAAUAAAGUUAAGAAUUAACAAA
rnacentral:lncRNA from 1 species